rnacentral:rRNA from 1 species
CAGGGAUUGCCCUAGUAACGGCGAGUGAAGCGGCAACAGCUCAAAUUUGAAAUCUGAUCUCUUCGAGGUCCGAGUUGUAAUUUGUAGAGGGCGCUUUGGUGUUGGCUGCGGUCUAAGUUCCUUGGAACAGGACGUCAUAGAGGGUGAGAAUCCCGUCUGUGGUCGCAUGUCUUCACCGUGUAAAGCCCCUUCGACGAGUCGAGUUGUUUGGGAAUGCAGCUCUAAAUGGGAGGUAAAUUUCUUCUAAAGCUAAAUACUGGCCAGAGACCGAUAGCGCACAAGUAGAGUGAUCGAAAGAUGAAAAGCACUUUGGAAAGAGAGUCAAAAAGCACGUGAAAUUGUUGAAAGGGAAGCGCUUGCAGCCAGACUUGCUUGCAGUUGCUCAUCCGGGCGUUCGCCCGGUGCACUCUUCUGUAGGCAGGCCAGCAUCAGUUUGGGCGGUUGGAUAAAGGCCUCUGUCAUGUAUCUUCUCCGGAAGACCUUAUAGGGGAGGCGUAAUGCAACCAGCCUGGACUGAGGUCCGCGCAUCUGCUAGGAUGCUGGCGUAAUGGCUGUAAGCGGCCCGUCUUGAAACACGGACCAAGGAGUCUAACAUCUAUGCGAGUGUUUGGGUGUCAAGCCCGAGCGCGUAAUGAAAGUGAACGGAGGUGGGAACCCUCGGGUGCACCAUCGACCGAUCCUGAUGUCUUCGGAUGGAUUUGAGUAAGAGCAUAGCUGUUGGGACCCGAAAGAUGGUGAACUAUGCUUGAAUAGGGUGAAGCCAGAGGAAACUCUGGUGGAGGCUCGCAGCGGUUCUGACGUGCAAAUCGAUCGUCAAAUUUGGGCAUAGGGGCGAAAGA